AAUUUUUAUGGAGAGUUUGAUCCUGGCUCAGGAUGAACGCUGGCGGCGUGCCUAAUACAUGCAAGUCGAGCGAACGGACGAGAAGCUUGCUUCUCUGAUGUUAGCGGCGGACGGGUGAGUAACACGUGGAUAACCUACCUAUAAGACUGGGAUAACUUCGGGAAACCGGAGCUAAUACCGGAUAAUAUUUUGAACCGCAUGGUUCAAAAGUGAAAGACGGUCUUGCUGUCACUUAUAGAUGGAUCCGCGCUGCAUUAGCUAGUUGGUAAGGUAACGGCUUACCAAGGCAACGAUGCAUAGCCGACCUGAGAGGGUGAUCGGCCACACUGGAACUGAGACACGGUCCAGACUCCUACGGGAGGCAGCAGUAGGGAAUCUUCCGCAAUGGGCGAAAGCCUGACGGAGCAACGCCGCGUGAGUGAUGAAGGUCUUCGGAUCGUAAAACUCUGUUAUUAGGGAAGAACAUAUGUGUAAGUAACUGUGCACAUCUUGACGGUACCUAAUCAGAAAGCCACGGCUAACUACGUGCCAGCAGCCGCGGUAAUACGUAGGUGGCAAGCGUUAUCCGGAAUUAUUGGGCGUAAAGCGCGCGUAGGCGGUUUUUUAAGUCUGAUGUGAAAGCCCACGGCUCAACCGUGGAGGGUCAUUGGAAACUGGAAAACUUGAGUGCAGAAGAGGAAAGUGGAAUUCCAUGUGUAGCGGUGAAAUGCGCAGAGAUAUGGAGGAACACCAGUGGCGAAGGCGACUUUCUGGUCUGUAACUGACGCUGAUGUGCGAAAGCGUGGGGAUCAAACAGGAUUAGAUACCCUGGUAGUCCACGCCGUAAACGAUGAGUGCUAAGUGUUAGGGGGUUUCCGCCCCUUAGUGCUGCAGCUAACGCAUUAAGCACUCCGCCUGGGGAGUACGACCGCAAGGUUGAAACUCAAAGGAAUUGACGGGGACCCGCACAAGCGGUGGAGCAUGUGGUUUAAUUCGAAGCAACGCGAAGAACCUUACCAAAUCUUGACAUCCUUUGACAACUCUAGAGAUAGAGCCUUCCCCUUCGGGGGACAAAGUGACAGGUGGUGCAUGGUUGUCGUCAGCUCGUGUCGUGAGAUGUUGGGUUAAGUCCCGCAACGAGCGCAACCCUUAAGCUUAGUUGCCAUCAUUAAGUUGGGCACUCUAAGUUGACUGCCGGUGACAAACCGGAGGAAGGUGGGGAUGACGUCAAAUCAUCAUGCCCCUUAUGAUUUGGGCUACACACGUGCUACAAUGGACAAUACAAAGGGCAGCGAAACCGCGAGGUCAAGCAAAUCCCAUAAAGUUGUUCUCAGUUCGGAUUGUAGUCUGCAACUCGACUACAUGAAGCUGGAAUCGCUAGUAAUCGUAGAUCAGCAUGCUACGGUGAAUACGUUCCCGGGUCUUGUACACACCGCCCGUCACACCACGAGAGUUUGUAACACCCGAAGCCGGUGGAGUAACCUUUUAGGAGCUAGCCGUCGAAGGUGGGACAAAUGAUUGGGGUGAAGUCGUAACAAGGUAGCCGUAUCGGAAGGUGCGGCUGGAUCACCUCCUU
rnacentral:rRNA from 1 species